ensembl:lncRNA
UGGUGAGGAAGGGCAGGGGAGGGGAAAUCCCGGGCCAGGAAAUGGGGGCAAGUGGCGCGGGCGGCCAGGAGGGAGCAAAUGGACUGUUCCUGAGGGGCAGCUGAGCGCGGGGACCCGGAGACUAGGACCCACACCCCCUCGGAGCAGGAGAGCGAGAACACCACUCUCCCUCGGAAAGGGCGCCCCGCCCCAGCCUCCGUCCGUGCGGUCGCCAACAGUCCUCCUAGGGCCAGUCGCUCCCAGAGAUAGAGGCUGGACGGAGCCCUCAUCCCACCGCGUCUCCUCCCCUUAGACCACGGAGGUUGUGCACCUAUAGGCCCUUGGCGUUGCGGCGUCCCGGGGAAGAGGGGGUCACCUUGUAAUUGCUACCUCCCUUCGCUCCGAAAAUGCCAUUUCCGGACGCUUCUGCCAGGUUUGAAAGCCUCAUUUCUAAUCCUUCAGCCAGGCUCCCGCCUCCAGAGGGCCGAGGCUCGGUGCUAGACCUUCCCAGGAUUCCAGAUCCCACCCCAGCGGCGCCAACCUGCGGCUGGGCGGUCGGCGAUGCGGCUGGAGGCGCGCGGAAUCCCGAGGUGCCGCGACCCUCCUCCGGACGCCAACUCUGCGGCUCCGGCUCGGCCGCCUCCCGGCCUGGCGACCUUCCUGCCCUCCUGCCCACAACCAGGCCAGCGCCCGGGACUGGGAGCUCCACCCCGCGCGCAGCCGGGAGGCGAAAGUGCUGAUCCCCAGCCGAGCACCGCGGGAUGCACGCCGUCGGGGGCCGCCGCGUUGGCCCAGGGCCAGGGAGCCCUAGAUAGGACUCCGUGUGUUCCGCGCAGUCCUAAAUACAUCCGGAGUUGGGAUCGAGGCGCGUAACGGAGGCAAAUCCUUCCGCCACGACUUCUCCAGCCACCCCAGUCCCCAGGAGACGUGGUCCCACUGCAGUGCGCACUCUCUCCCUGGAGCCGCAGCAACUUGUGGAGCCUCAUUCCCCCUGGUUCACAUCAGAGCUCAGGAUCCCGGCUCACCAGGGCCAAGGAGCUAACGGAUUGACGAAGAGGUAAGAGGUUUAACGAGUAGAAACUUGGACGCUCUUCCUUUUUAUUGUUUCAAAGGACAGGGUCCCUGGAUAUUGACUCCUCGCUCCAGAAGAGUUUCGGGCAUUCUGACCAGUCCUUUCGAGUCCAGUGGGGCGGGGGCUUCCACCGUAGGUUAAGGAGUAACUUUCCAGGAUGGUAGAGGCUCAGGAGUUCAUGGUUAUUAUUCUCAUUAUUGUUACUCAUUAUUAUCCAGUUAAUUUGGGAUUAAACCCUCACCUCCACUCCUGCCGAGACAGCCUUGCACAGUAGCCCGGAAUGAAAAGGGGGUGACUCAGAGCUGCCCCAAGAUGGGGUGGGGUGGGGGAGCUUUGGCCUUAAUUACCCCUGCAAGGUAGAGGCUCUUUUCCUAUAACUAGGGCUGAGGUGGGGACAGAAGGAGGAAGAAUGGAAAGUGGGCUGAGGGCAGCCACUUUGGCAUCUUCCUAAGAAAGCCCCACUGCUCUUGGACCUACUCCUUACAGACAGUGGUAAGAGAGGAGCACUAACCUGGGUACUUUCACAGGAGGUGGACCUGGUAAGCAUCCAGUUAUCAGCUAAACAGAAAAAAGUGAAGACCUAACUGAUCAUAUUUGGUCUCAGAAUUUUCCAGAUACUAAGUUCUCUGAUGAGUCCAAAUAGGAGUUGUUAACCUGAUGAUCAAGGACUCUGAAGUCCCCUGAAAUUGUGGGAUUUCAUGGCUCUACAAGAAAGCCUUCAUCAUCUCCUGAGAAGCCCUGGGAGGAGAAGAAGCAAGGGUGGCAUGGGGAAAGGAGGCGAGAGGCCCCACCUGCAGUCUAGUGUCCUAGACACUGAGCUCUGGACACUCAUCCACAUACUGCCAAAAUGGAGCAUGCAGAUUUGCCAGUCAGCCAUGGAGGCAGAUUUUCUUCACUGCUUUCAGGACAGGUCGGGGUGCCUAAGCAGAUUACAAAUCUGGAUGUUUUCCUUUCAGUUAUUCUUGAUUUGGGAGCUCUGGGGCCCUUAGGGCAGUAAAGCAGGAGAAGAACCUGUCCCUUGAUCUCACCUCCACCUGGUAAACAGUCCAGCAUCCCCAGCCGGCUGGGUCAGGGGUCAAACCUGCCCCACCAAGUCUCAGUCUGUGCCAGGCUUGGCCCAUCAACCCUGUCAGCUCUGAGGGCUCAUUUCUCUGUGAGCCCAGGUCUGCUCCCUCCACACCUGGCCACCUGAAUAACUACAGCAAUUUUUCUUCUUUUUCCUAUUUUUUGAAAACUGCAGAAGCUGCAAAUCCUUAGCUCCUCUUGAGGAAGAUGGUGCCUUUGGAUCUUGGGAUGAGGGGCAUUGUGGAAUCAAAUUAACCUCUAAAGCAUUGCAGGGCAGGGUCUCCUAGAGGACUUGGUGCUUCAGAUCAGUUCUGGGUGCUGCCUGGAUGGGUCAAAUAGUCCCUGCUGUCCAUAGGGUCGCACAGACUCGGACACCACUGAAGCAACUUAGCAUGCAUGCAUGCAUGGAUUCUUCUGUCUUUCUAUGUUUGAGAAGAAGACAAAACCCAAGAGUAAGAGAGUGAUCAGGGAGGAGAAAAUGAGGGAGAGAUUACAACAGAUUCAAGUAAUCAACUUCUCUUUCUAAUCCAACAGCAUCUGAAGCCUGAUGCUUGUUUUAAUCAGGCCAGGAAGAGAAGUUGGAGGCAGGGUAGGUGAGAGACCAAGUUCUCAGCUGACUGAGCCGUGGGGUCAGUGCCUCUGAGGCAGUGAGAAGGCAGAACCAUCCUCUGGGGAUGGUAGGGGUAGGGGUCUGGGUCUCCUCAACUGCAGUGUGGAAGAGUGUGGGGCUCUUAAGGGUCUCCAAGGUCUCCUGUGUUGCCUUGCCUGGGUCUAGUAAAGUCUUUCCUUGCAUUUCCUCUGGGGCACACUGCUUGUUUGGGGGGUAUGUGUGUAUAGAGGUAGUGGCUCUAAAUCCUGGCAGAUGGCUAAGAGCAACUGCCUCCCUGGGAGCCCAGGGAGGUAUGAUUGAGAGUAGAAAAAUGCUUCAUUUUUCUAGGCUAGGGGAGUGAGGAGGCCUCUCUGGACUUGGAGCCAAGUGCUCCAGAGUCUAGGGAAAUGGAGGGGCUGCAGCUCCAAAGGGGGAUUUAGAGGAAAGGUCAUAUCAGGAAAAGCCCUGAACGCCCUAUUGACUACAGUGUUAUAAAGGAGUUUCCACCAAACUCCCUUCGUCCAAGAACCCGGACUUUCUCUAAGGGAACAACUCCUCACCAUUAUGGGUCUUUGUGCUUCUACUAAUACUAGAAAGUACGAUUCUGUGCUAUAUGUUUCCACAUUUAACAUACAUGGAAUAUGUGAAAUAUACUGUGUACCAUUCUUUUUUUAAGGGGAGUGUAUAUAGGUGAAAAUAUGAAUUUCCUGUCUGCUACCUUUAUUGCUGAGCACAGUUGGGAAAACAUCAUUUCCUGUCUCUUUUGCAUGUUUUCAUGAAUCCUCUAUCCUCAACCUUUACAGGACGGCUUAAUACUCUGAGAGGCACAGUUGCCCUGACCCAGGAUUGCUCUCUGACUCCUAAGAGUUACCAAGUCCUAGAAGACCUUGAAAUACCCACCAUGCAGCCCCUUUAUGCCUGCUUUUCUCUACAUGCCUUUUCAGAGGCGAGUAAUUUUUAUUGGCCCAGUCCAUACAGAUUGAGAUCCCUUCUCUGACUUCUGCCCCCUCUCAUAAACAAGCCCCUGGACAAAAAUGCAUACGCAUCAUUUUGUGAAUGUGAAUUUCUAGUAAGAUGGCGGCGCCUGGCAUCCCUUCAGAUUCAGACACAGGCUCUCCCAGGCAGAAGGCCCUGGGAGGCUGCCGCACAGUCCGGAGGGCAACGAAAUCUUGGUCCCCUCCCUACGUGGAAACAGAGUCUGAAGCGAGACUCCCCCCAAACAUUCUCCCUUCAUCCUUUCUAGGGGGCUGCUGCAGUGAGAGCUGAGUCUGCAUCUUGGGGGCCUGCAGGCUCCCAUCCGAAAGCAGCGUUUUAGGCCAAUUUCUAAUUUCUGUGGAGAAAGAAUAACCACUGUCCCUUUCCAAGCGACCCCUACCCACAAGACCGGUCGGGGCCGCGGGUCCUUGACACUCUCUCUCUCCUCUUGGUAUCCGGGACUCUGAACCGGGAGACCCCGCGGAGAGGGCCCAAGGCUGCACUCGGCAGCGGGGAGCCAGCGGCGCGCGCGGGAAGGAUGGGAGGCGAUUCUCUGCCCCCUUACACACACCUACGCCUGAAGAGCGAGUCGGGCGGGAGCCAGCGGGGGUUGGGGAGCAGGAGUUGCGGGUACGCCCCAGACCCCACCCGGGACGCUGGAUCGGUCCAGAGCUCAAGGGAUCAAACCCAUCCUCCUGCAGUGGAAGUGCAGGAAGUGAACCCCUGGACCGCCAGGGAAGCCUGCUGUUUCCAUCUCAGCAAACUCUUCUCUUCACCUCUUUGAGCUUCAAAUUCCAAGUCCUUACUUGAAAAUAGCAUGAUGGUGACUGCAGCCAUGAAAUUAAGACACUUACUCCUUGGAAGAAAAGUUAUGACCAACCUAGACAGCAUAUUCAAAAGCAGAAACAUUAUUUUGCCAACAAAGGUCCAUCUAGUCAAGGCUAUGGUUUUCCAGUGGUCAUGUAUGGAUGUGAGAGCUGGACUGUGAAGAAGGCUGAGCACCGAAGAAUUUAUGCUUUUGAACUGUGGUGUUGGAGAAGACUCUUGAGAGUCCCUUGGACUGCAAGGAGAUCCAACCAGUCCAUUCUAAGGAGAUCAGUCCUGGGUGUUCUUUGCAAGGAAUGAUGCUAAAGCUGAAACUCCAGUACUUUGGCCACCUCAUGUGAAGAGUUGACUCAUUGGAAAAGACUCUGAUACUGGGAGGGAUUGGGGGAAGAAGGAAAAGGGGACGACAGAGGAUGAAAUGGCUGGAUGGCAUCACCGACUCGAUGGAUGUAAGCUUGAGUGAACUCUGGGAGUUGGUGAUAGACAGGGAGGCCUGCCGUGCUGGGGUCACAGAGUCGGACACGACUGAGUGACUGAACUGAUUCAUUUAAAUAUAUAUUCAAUACUUUUGAUCUGUGAGAUAUAUAUGUAUAUCAUUUGUGAAAUAUAUAUGUCACAGGCCACAUCCUGCCUUGAGCACUAUGCUUUAUAAACGGGAAUUGUUUAUAGUCUCCUGGCACAUACCAUGUUGUUCCAUCUCUCUGUCUUUGUGCCCUAAACCCUAAACCCUGUGCUAGUUUCCUAGGGCUAAAGUAACAAAGCACCACAAACUGGGUGCCAUGAAAGAAUAGAAAUUUAUUCUCUUACAGUCCUGAAAGCUGGCAGUCUUAAAUCAAGGUGUUGGCAGGGCCAUCGUUCUUCCAAAACCUCUAAGAGGGAAUCUUUCCUGGCCUCUUUCAGCUCCUGGGUGGCCCCAGGCAUUCCUCAGCCUGUACGGCAUAAUGCAGUCAUUGUCUUUGCCUUCAUCUGUCUUCCCCUGUGUCUGUGUCCAUUUCCUCCCGUGGUAUUUACCCUGUGUGUCUUGUCAAUGUGUCCGUAUUUCCCUCCUUUCAAGAGGCUCCCUCACUCUAGCAUGACCUCAUCUUAACUAAGUACAGCUACAAUGACUGUUUCCAAAUAAGAUCAUACUCUGAAGCACUGGGGGUUAGGACUCUAAUAUUUCUCUUAGGAUGACACAAUUCAGCCCAUAACAUACCUUUUCCCAUUUUUUUUUUUACCUGAACAACUUCUCUUCACCCUUCAUACUUCAGCCAAGGCAUUAUCUUUCUGAGAAAGUUUUCCCUGAAGCCCCUAGGUGAGCCUGUGUGUUUCCACAGUGGCUUUAUCAGCAUGGCACAUUUUAUGAGAAUUAUCUGUAAAUGAAUGAUUUUCCUUACUUAAACAGAACCCCCUUGAGAGUAGGGACUAUAGCUUCCAUCUUUACUUUAUAUGCCCAAAAUUUGUCUCACAUUAAUUAGUUCAAGACUAAGUGGUCUGGCAGAGAGGCAAUAGCAGCCCACUCCAGUAUGCUUGCCUGGAAAAUCCUAUGGACGGAGGAGCCCAUGGAGUCGCUAAGAGUCGGACACGACUGAGCAACUUCACUUUCACUUUUCACUUUCAUGCUUUGGAGAAGGAAAUGGCAACCCACUCCAGUGUUCUUGCCUGGAGAAUCCCAGGGAUGGGGGAGCCUGGUGGGCUGCCGUCUGUGGGGUCGCACAGAGCUGGACACAACUGAAGCGAUUUAGCAGCAGCAGCUGCAAGUGGGCUGGAGGCUCAAAAAAGUUUAUUCCUCUGUUCACCAAAUGAGAAUGUUUUUCUCAUUUUGAUGGCUCAUCUGCAUUCCAGCUUGCAGGAGAGGAGGAAAGAAACUAUGGAAAAACACAAGACCAGGGUCUUAAAGUUCAGACCCCAAGUGGCUCGCCUUACUUGUACUCACAUUCUGUUAGAACUUAGUCACACAUGGCCACACUUACUUAAAAAAGGGUCUGGAAAUAUGUCUUCAGUGGAGCAGCUAUAAAUUACUUUUCAACUCUGUUAUAGUUCCACGACCCUUUAUCUGCAAGUUCUGGAAUCUCAGCAAGUUCUGAAAAAUCAAAAGCUUUUACUGAAGUUUCAUGCAAACUCAUUUGGUGGCAAAAUCUGACUUGAAAUGACACGAGGCAUCUAUCAAGACAAGUUAUAGGCUUUAUUUAACUCAUCUAGAAUGAAUAUUAAUGGGUUUUGUUGCAGAAGUGUCAGUAUAUUUGAUUAAGUUCUGUUUCCCCAGCCCCCAAAUGAAUUGGCCACAGGUAUACAUAUGUCCCCCCCAUCCUGAAUCCCCUCCCUCCUCCCUCUCCACCCUAUUCCUCUGAGUUGUCCCAGAGCAUCGGCUUUAGGUGCCCUGCUUCAUGCAUUGAAUAGAUGGCCAUGCAGGAUCUUUAGUUGCAGCACUUGGAAUCUAGUUCCCUGACCAGGGACCAAACCUAGGCCCCCUGUAUCAGAAGCUCCGAGUCUUAGCCAUUGGACCACUAGGGAAAUCCCUGUUAGUUGGUUUUUAUAGGUGUUCAUUAUCAAGUUGAGAAUAUUCCCUUCUACUCCUAUUUUUCUGAGAAGUUUUUGCUUAAUCAUAAAAUGGAUGUUGAAUUUUGUCAAAUGUUUUUUCGGCAUCAAUCGAUAAGAUCGUGUGGUUUAUAUUCUUUAUACUGUUAAGAUGGUGGAUUACAUUGUUUGAUUUUGAAUAUUGAAUCAGCUUCCCAUCCCUAAAAUAAAUUUCUC